CAGAGUAGUAGUUUAAUAAAAUAUUAGCGUUGGAAGUUAAAGAUUAGGUUGAUAUGCCUACUGUCUGA
rnacentral:tRNA from 1 species